GUUCCUUCUGAAGGAGACGUCCGAUAAAAUUGGAACCAGACAGAAAAGAUUAGGAUGGUUCCUGCUCAAGGAUGACACGCAUAAAUCGGGAUUCGUAUGGUUCCCGU